AUGCCUACCACAGCAGAACGUGCUAACUUAACCGCUGCACCACCAGGCCGGCCCUCAGCAUUUGUGCCCAUGUAUCCCAACAGUUUCAUCUUCUUGAAGAAUUCUCUUCUAGCGUCUUCUGCCCAGCACAGAGGAUCAGCAGAAUCACCCAGAAGCCAGCCCCUCCUGAGCAAAGCAUAGCUUCAGCUCGCCCUCUGAGACCAGUGUUAACCAAGCUGGGAGCACAUCAGCUACUGGCCCGAAGAAAUGUUUGUGGAAGAUUUCUAAAAACGCAUUUCUGCCUCAGCAAAUUAUCUCCAAGAACACAGUGAGUAUGAAGAUAAGUAAGGGAGAGAAAUGAAUGAGAAACUAAAUUGAUUACUCCUGAGAUGGCCGGUGGCAAUGGCUUGCUCUGGGUAUAAAGAAGAGAUUUCACCACAAGCUUCUCCCCAGAGGUGGAAGGGGCAGAUCAGGUUGCUUUUCACUCCUGCCCCACCCUGAGGAAUGGACUCAGUGACACUGCAGGCCUUUCUCUCCCCUGAUAUCUUUGAGUCAAGGCGCCGUGUUGACCAAGUGUGUCAGAUAAAGGACUACAAAAGUAUUGUCCAAAUUGCCCAGGGAGGAUGUGGCCAACAUUCCUAGGUGUGUUUGCAAAAAUGGCUGAGAGACUAGGUGCAAAGUGAGGGAUGCUGGCAAAGCACGCCUGUAUUUGGAGACCAGUGGUUCCCUCCGGCCACAGGUACUUCUGAUGAAUCUCUUCCAACAGAGUAAUACACACACCUUCAAACUUAACUGCAGAGGAAGAAUCCUACGCUCAAAACCGCACAGAAUGAGUCCUAUCCAGGUGAGUCCUAUAAUAGGAUAUUGUUCAUUAUAAUAGAAUUUUGCUUUUCCAGAAUUUAGUAAUCCAUCAAUUGGCAAACUUCUCUGGUAUAUAUUUUUUAGAUUCUAGAAAAUUCAACUCAUUUAUUUCUUACUUAUUCAUUAGUCACUUCUAAAAUCAUUGAAAAUUGCAUUUGAUAAAUAACUAUAAAUGAUUACAUCAAGGACCUAUAUGCAGGAGUCAAGUAACAAAAAUGAGUUAAAAGAAGAAAAAAAUUACAUUAGAAGAUUUACACUAAGGAAGUAAUGAAAUUAAGUAUGAAAUUUAGCUCUGAGCUUCCUGGCAAUAAAAUAGAAAAGGAAAAAAGAAUUUAGUCUGCA
rnacentral:lncRNA from 1 species